AAUUUUCCGCAAUGGGCGAAAGCCUGACGGAGCAACGCCGCGUGAGGGAUGAAGGCCUCUGGGCUGUAAACCUCUUUUAUCAAGGAAGAAGAUCUGACGGUACUUGAUGAAUAAGCCACGGCUAAUUCCGUGCCAGCAG
rnacentral:rRNA from 1 species